UCAUACACCGGUCUUCGUUCGAUCACCGCAGUUAAGUAACGUCGAGUGUGGUCAGUACCUAGUUGGGUGACCACUUGGAAAUGCCUGGGGUUGUAA